UUUCGCAACAACCGACAUCAGGAAAACAUUUUGUGGCUAUUCUCUCCUGAAAUCAAAUGCUGUGCCUUCGACUGCCCAAACAGCUUCAAGAUCUUCUGAUAAACAGGUAAGAUCUGCUGUACCACAGUCCACGCCAGUGAAGGAUACCACAUCAACAUCAGGCCAGCCGAGGACAAUUCAACAAUCAUCACGAGUGACCUGGAGGUAUACCACAGUGCGAUGCUGAAGUACACCCAAAAGAGGCUCCACUUUGUCUAUAACUCCAUGAAGGCAAGGACACUAAUGUCUGUUAUGGACCACAAUGAAAAUGUCGGGCGCCAGCAACAGAGGAACGCUGAUGGUAGGCUUACUCAUACGUCAUGGACCAAAUUGAAAUCUGUCAACAUUUGUCCCAUUACAAUUGCACUCUACCUUUCUUAUCGUGUACAUAUCUCUAUCAAAUUUACUCUAUUAGGCACUUUGAAAUACAGCUCGGAGUUUCCAAAGCAAA